ensembl:lncRNA
UUUCCAGCAGGGUUUAGUUAACAGCUGCUGCACGUCUUUGAAAAGGCGACAGUCACGUGACUCGGCGUCAUACAUUCGGCGUCGCACAGCAGCGCAGUCGCUUCUUUUAUUUCUUAUUAUAUAUUUUAUUCAAGCAGCAGUUGAUCAAUGCUCUUAAAAUUGUGCUAUCAUCUUUAGAGACUGAUUUACAUCCACACAUCUGCAUCCGGGAGGCUCUGGAAUUAAAUAGUCAUGACUGGUGAGUAUAAUGCAUUUAUUCUAUUUAUUUUGUUUUUAUAGUUUUACAAUAACAAAACUAUGGUACAGGUGUCUCAUGAUAGUAUAUACAGUCAUCCGUCACACAAUCACACAGUCGUCAAUGGUGGUUCAAGGCUCGAAUGAAGGGCAAUAGCACCAAACUAAACAAGAAUCAAGAAAUAAAGACAAUCAACAAGGAAUAAAUGAUUUUUCACCACAAAUCAUUAGACCUCUGGUGUAAGUCACAGGUUAGUUUUUCUAAAGGUAGAUAAGUGGCAGUUUGACUCAAACACAUAUUGACGGAAGGGACAGGAGGAGUGGAGCACAACAAAAGUAUACAUUUUCUCUCCAAAAAAAGUAACACAUUCUUGACCGUGGUUGAGGUGUCAUUCAGCUUUACAGUUCAAGAGAUAGAUACUCGGAGAUGGAGCAAAAGAUUUACCAGUGAUCCUCUGAACAACUUUAUGUAUCUCUUUCCAAGAGAGUGUUUGUGUUUGUUGAUGAAGAGGAGCUGUUCAGUGUGAUGAAGGAUGCUGACUGUCUCUACUGCAGGAAUCCAGUCACUGCGUCCAAACAUCACCUCAGAAAGAGACAUCUCAGAUUCGCUAUAUAUUAUAAAGACUCUGCCAUUGGGAAGUUUUCUAUCCCCUGUUAUUGCUCUGAUGGAGGCCAUGGCAGGAGCCACUGGCACUGCCCAAUGUGCGCAAAAAUAUUGCAAAGAACAAAGGAUUUCAAAAUCCAUAUUACCAACCACGGUUUGUGUCUAUUACAAUGCACUUCUUGAAUUCUUGAAUUUUCUUAGAGGAGUGGACUGUAAUACUUUUUUUUUUACUUCUUAUAUUGUAAUUUAAAGAGAAUGGAAUAUCAAGUAUGUAUCUGACUGUAUGGUAAUCCAGUCAACAGUUUACACAGUAAAAAUCAUUUAUUAUUAUUGGCAUUGUCCGUAUUGUAGAAUAUACACAAACCAUGUUUUUUUUUUUUUAUUUUUAACUAAUCCAAGUUAAUUCUUGUUAAUUAAUAUCCUUCAAUUCUGAUAUGUUUCACACGACUGCAGGUGUUGAGAUGACAGACAAAUCCACAGGUGAGCAGCGGCAUUUAAUCAUUUUCAGUAGCGCUCAUCCACUGAUCAAAUGAACACCACAGCAGCUGCCCAGUCAGUCAGUGACAGUUUUGUAUGACGGCGCCUCCUAAAGGUGUGGACACAUACCAUUGUUCUGUGAAUUUUCACAGAUGCUGUUCAGUAGAAUACACACAGUCUGAUUUUCACGAGGGUAAACUAUUUCUCCACGCAGUUUCUGCAGCGCACAUGGCUGUUUAUGUAUUUAUUUUCUAGUGAUUCUGAAGGCCAUGAUCAGCUGGUUCAAGUGUGUUUGAUUGAUUGUUGUAGCUCACCUCUGCAAGACAACGGGUCUCCAGGAGCAAGGUUAAAGACCUCGGACAGGGGUGUCCAAUCCUGCUCUUGGAUCUUGCAGACUUUAGCUCCAUCCGUCUCCAGCACACUUGAAUGGAAGUUUCUAGCACAUUCUGAAGACCUGGGCUGUGUUGCCCCCAUCCCCUUAUUUAGGGCACUAUUUGAGAGAACAGCCAUUUGAAGUGUUGUCCGAAAAUACUCAUUCAAUACCAUAAUGCACCUCGGUAAUGAGUCUACAACCGAUGAACUCUCAGCGGCUAGAGAAUACCCAUAAUGCACUGUAAGGGUCAUGCUGAAUGAACUCCCAUGUCUCGUCAGAAGAUGGCGCCUGCAGUUGAAUCAUCAGUCCAUUCUUUUUCCAAACCGCUGGUCCAAUGUGGUUACAGAGUACUAUCAUACAGUUGAGCUACAACCUACAAUGGUCCUGUCGGAGAACCAACAAACAGACAACGAAGACAAGACACCGGGCAACAAGUCAGCGUGCCAGAAGUGUGGCAUCUUCUUUACCACCACAUCAAAUUUGAGACGGCAUGAGAGACUACAGCACGGCCAAGACCAGCAGCCCAUGUUAUGCGUAGAUGCCAAAAAUGCAAUCUAUGUUACACCCAAGGAUCUGCACGGACCUAGAGUGCCCAUUCAUAUCCGUAAAUCCUUCACCUUGCAGAUUCUGCUGUGUGAACUGGAGGAAUGCUGGGAUUUCAUGAAAGCGCUGGCCCAGAGCGGGAAUCCUGGGAAGGAAUGCCGUCACCUCGUGAGAACGAAUCACGCGCAGCACUACGUCCCUCCUCCACCGCUGAGCAUCAGCUCUCUGGAGGAGAUGAGCCACAAACACCUCCUGUCCGCAUCUGAGAAACACGCGUGCCAGGAGAUGAACUCCAGGGCAUGUUUAGAGGGAGUCGAUUGUGUCUACCCUAUUUUUUGGGGGAAGCAUGACCUUUCAGAGAGAUGUGUCUACUUUUCUGUGUACACUGACCUCAAGGACAAAUGGUGUCAGUUUGGGAGGACACGCGUCUCGUUUGACACCAAGUCUGGCAGCUGGAAGUGUCUGUGUGAACACAAAAGAAUCCCUUGCAUCCACAAGCGUUUAUCUAUGUGGUGGUUGUUUCAGGAGCAUCCCAAAUUGUUGCAGAACCCCCUGGAUGUCCACGCUGAAAGAGUCGACGUGCUUGAGGAAGUGGUCAUGGAUAAAAUGUCUCCUGAUGGUGAUGACCUCUGCUAGCCUCAACAUCCCUCUCAUGUUCUGUCUUCACCCAAUAAAAACACUUGCCAUACACUUGAUUUUGCCUUGUAAUUUCUUAGUUGAUUUGCAAAAAUUCAUGUGCUGUGCUAUGUUUACAGUGUUGGGGGAAACGCAUUACAAGUAACACUAAUUACGUAACUAGUAACGUAUUACUUUUACAUUUGCAAUGAAAUAUCGGAGUUACUUUGUCAAAUAAGUAAUGAAAGUUAUUUUGUUACUUUGCACUCAACUUCUGUCUCCGUGUUGAGAGAAAUCAGUGGCACUUCCUUCAGCCUGAGGCUUAUUAUUUUUUACAGUUGCCAUUACAGUACAGGUGACCAAAAGUAAUGCAAAAGUAACGUAAUGCAUUACUUUCCAUGAAAAGUAACUAAGUAACGCAGUUAGAUUUUGGAGUAGUGCAAUGUUGUAAUGCAUUACUUUUAAAAGUAACUUCCCCCAAAACUGUAUGUUUAUGACGUUGCCACACUAAUUUUAUUAAAGUUAUCCAAGAUAUAUUUAUUGUGAAAUUUCUGGAAAGGUGUCUUGAGAUUUAUUCAUGGAUUAUUCAUCUGAAAAGCAAAAUGUGUGUUCUCGUGCUUUCAAAGCCAAAUGUAAUGCAUACUAAGUCCCACCACUCUUUGUGGUGAAGUUUCACUUUAGGCUUUGUAUUGCACUGUAAAUGGUGAGUUAUGUGACAUGACUGUGUCACACAAAGUAUUGAUGGUGUUGUGUGUCUUUAUAAUUGCCCUCUUGGCUUUGCCCAGACUGGUUUAGUCUGGUUGUUUUGGCCAGAAUUUAACUAAUUUUACACAACGUAAAUUAUGUUCAGUAUUAUUAUUUUUAAAAUGCAUCUUUAUCUAUGUUCGAACAGCAAAGUCUAAUAAUAAUAAAAGAAAUUAAAGAAA